rnacentral:misc_RNA from 1 species
AGUCAAAUAACGGCCAAUCUAGCGAUCGUCAUGAUGGGACCCGCGCACAUGAAUAACAUAAGCAAGCAAUGACACGAGUACCACAGGAGACCAACUUUUCGAAAAAUAAACCGACACCUACGGCGUACAUCACUGGAUCAUGUCUAACAACAAUGCAUAAUUGCAAAGAAGUGCUUAUUUGCAAACGACGCCGUUUCAGAAUUGAAGGCAAUGCUGUCUCAUGCCACUUGCCAUUUUGCCUUGCAUUUCUCGAAAGGAACGAUCGGAAAUUUCAUCAAAUUUCUUUUCGCGAGUGAACUUACCUUUUUUGAUAACAA